ensembl:lncRNA
AAUAUAUUUCAGAGAAAAUAGUUUAUAGGGCCUAAGUUCAUGGUCGCGGUAAAAAGAAAGUGCACCGUCUUUUAAUUCUUAAGUUUUACAUAUUAGGACACAGUAAAGAGAAAAUAAAUUCUGGACUCUACCAGGUCUUAUAAUGUAAAUACAAUUUCAAAUGAACAACAUGAUACAUGGUGUUACGUGCCAAGAGAUGUGGCUUUGCUUUUGUGUUCUUUUUAUCUAACAGGUGUCAAGCCUCCACCUAUUGGCCAGUUCAAAGUUGAUUGGCAUGUAUCUAUUGGCUGGUCUGGGCACAGUUGGCCAAUCACACUCCAAGGAUCACUACAAAUGAGCAGCUUCCUGACCAGCUGGGGGUGGCUGGCUUCUGCUAUGACAAACAUUUGUGAACAGGCGUCUUUGUAUUAUGUGUGGUGGGAGGCUGGACAGGUAAGCUGGGGUACCCUAUACACUGGUUGCAGGUUUUAAACUGUUAGACACACUAGGUUAUGCGGUUGAUGCCACUUAUGUAUGUUUUCACUGACCUUUUGUCGAGCAGCUAGGUAGGCCUUUUGUUUUGCAUUUUUCUUUUAGUUAGGCCCUGGGAGCUCUCGACCUCUUUUUGUUUUAUUACUUUCUUUGAUUUGGUUCAACCGCCCAGUCCUCCUCCCCCACCUUUUUUCUUUUGUUAAGUUUGACUAUCAAGGCAAGCAACCAAUAAAUCCUACCUGAUCCUUAACUGUUCUGUUGUCUUCCUCCUCCAUUGAUUGUGGUUGUCCAGUGUUGCUGUCUCCUUCCUACCUUUGCCUCCACCAUGGUGGGGGGGGGGACAUAACGCAUGUUUUUUUUUUUUUUUUUAAAUUUUUUUAUAUAUAUUAUUAUUUUGCAAAAACUCAGCAAACAUGUAGAAUCAGUGUGUUAAAACACCCUUACUGCAUCCAUAGGCAUUAAAAGGGUAAGUAACAGCCUCUUGUGCCUCAAAUGCACUUGAUUACCUGAUGAUCAGGAAAUUAUGGCAUCUAGGGUUGUGCGACAUGAUCAAAGUCUCAUAUCCCGAUAUAAGACUAUUCUCAUCCUGAUAACAAUAUAUAUCACAAAAUAGUGCAUCUUCUGUAAAUGUCAGGCAACUCAACUUGUAUGAAGUGUUUUCAGCUGGGCGUCGGGUACCUGGAGUUGAGUGUUUUGAACGAUGCAUGAAACUAUAUAUUUUUAGAUAUAAGUUGUAACGGCCCCCAUUUUCUUUGUGAGUAUUUAUUACAUGGCGUGCUGCGUGGAAAAGACUGUUCUAAAGUUUGAGUUUAAGGUUUAUUUUGAGCAU